CCUACGGGGGGCAGCAGUGGGGAAUAUUGCACAAUGGGGGAAACCCUGAUCCAGCGACGCCGCGUGAGUGAAGAAGUAUCUCGGUACGUAAAGCUCUAUCAGUAGGGAAGAAAAUGACGGUACCUGACUAAGAAGCCCCGGCUAACUACGAGCCAGCAGCCGCGGUAAUACGUAGGGGGCAAGCGUUAUCCGGAUUUACUGGGUGUUAAGGGGGCGUAGACGGCAGCACAAGUCUGGAGUGAAAUCCCGGGGCUUAACCCUGGAACUGCUUUGGAAACUGUGCGGCUGGAGUGCAGGAGGGGUAAGCGGAAUGCGUGGUGUAGCGGUGAAAUGCGUAGAUAUUAGGAGGAACACCGAUGGCGAAGGCAGCUUACUGGACUGUAACUGACGUUGAGGCUCGAAAGCGUGGGGAGCAAACAGGAUUAGAUACCCGGGUAGUC
rnacentral:rRNA from 1 species